UAUCAUCUUGGCAGCAUUUUAGAUCAAUACAAGUUUCGCAAUAUUUUCACUAAAUUGAUAUUUUCUUACACCUCUAGUUGUAACUAUUUUUAAAUGUAUGUCCUACAGCAGUCCCAAGCUGCAAGGACUAUAUUAUAUUGACAAUCUUUCUUUCUACACGUUUUGGCAAAAAUGUCAUUCCCAUCACAGACUCAAAAAUUCACCAAUAUUUGCACGCAUAUAGCAUCUGGAGAAAAUGAGCAAUGUGAAAAAAGUGAUAAGAACACAGUAACCGUCGAGUGAAUGGGGUCAAAAUCUCUUAUGGGACAAAAAAAUUAAUUUAUUUUAAAAUUAUAAAAACACUCAAAUCUGGGAUAUCUAAAGAAAGUUUUAAAAACUACAAGAUCUACGGGUUGGCAAUUGGAAAAUUUGGCAAGUUUCACAUUUUAGCACAAGAUCUGGAAAAAAAAAAAAGAGCAAUCUUUGAGCAAUCUUCAUAUAAUUAAUUCACACGCCACCAGCUUAAGUCAACAACCGCAAACGAAGCUACUAUAUAUUGACCUUUGACCUCGUGAAGAGGCCACCAUCUUGAAUUUAAAAAGUACCAGCAAAAAAUUCAAACUCCUCUCAAGGAUUUUGAUCUAAUGCAGGUUUGGGCAGACAACACUACUCGCAGCUUAAAUUUUACAUUGUUUGUUUAAACCCAUGACUAUUCCAAAUGUUUGGAUUCUGUGUCUCUACUUACACAGAAACACAUAUUCUACAGUUGGACUAGGCUCAGGAGAAAGACUGGGUGAAACAAGAGCACAACAUACCUGAUCACUGCAACAAACCAUAAAUGGGCAAUAAAAGAAACUGCACGUAGUCACAUCUUGAACAGAGAUUUUAACAAGGAGACUGUAUGCAACAGGUGACAGCCUGGACGAUAUCUUAAUCUUUGCAUGAGACCUUCAAAUGUCAAGAUUCAUUUCUCUCUGCUCCCCUUGGAAUGAUGUUAUUAUGGUUGGAGAGAUGACAGUGGUAUCAAUUAUGCAUAGGCUGACGGUGUAUGGAGGACAUCUAUGCAAAUCAAGUUCACCCAAUGGAUACCCGUGAAAAAGGUGAACUAUGAUUCCGUCUGUCUGUCCGUCCGUAAGCAGAGGAGAGGUUUGGCAUGAAGAGGAUGAUCCUGUGUUAUGUUUCCCUCUCUUGUGUGUGAAUCUUUUCUUCAUCCCUCACUUUCCUCUGGACUCAUACACUGCUCAUCCUCACACCAACAGCUCCACCUAGAGGUUAAAAAAAAGAGGUCACCACAGACUUGACAGGAAACCAAAGAAAUUCUUCUUUCUUAAUUUGCAUGCAUUUGAAAUCAUCUAUGGAGAGUUUGUUAUUCGUUUAUGAUCAUUAUUGUGGGUAAAAUUGAAGAAUAAUCUAUGUCAAUAAUUGCUAUAAUAAUAAUAAUGAUAAUGAUGACUCCUGUCAUGUUUUCUAUGUAAAUUUUGUAAAAUAAAUGAAUAAAUAUAUCAAUGCCCUCACAUGUAAUUUUCCUG